rnacentral:rRNA from 1 species
GAACGGGUGUACGGGAUGGAAGAUUUCGGUCGGAAGCCCCGUGCAUGAGUGGCGGACGGGUGAGUAACGCGUGGGCAACCUGCCCUGUACAGGGGGACAACACCUAGAAAUAGGUGCUAAUACCGCAUAACGGGGGGAGCCGCAUGGCUUUCCCCUGAAAACUCCGGUGGUACAGGAUGGGCCCGCGUCUGAUUAGCUGGUUGGCAGGGUAACGGCCUACCAAGGCGACGAUCAGUAGCCGGCCUGAGAGGGCGGACGGCCACACUGGGACUGAGACACGGCCCAGACUCCUACGGGAGGCAGCAGUGGGGGAUAUUGCACAAUGGGGGGAACCCUGAUGCAGCGACGCCGCGUGGGUGAAGGAGCGUUUCGGCGCGUAAAGCCCUAUCGGCAGGGAAGAAGGAGGACGGUACCUGACUAAGAAGCCCCGGCUAACUACGUGCCAGCAGCCGCGGUAAUACGUAGGGGGCAAGCGUUAUCCGGAUUUACUGGGUGUAAAGGGGGCGCAGACGGCAGCGCAAGCCAGGAGUGAAAGCCCGGGGCCCAACCCCGGGACA